AGUGAACGCUGGCGGUAGGCCUAAUACAUGCAAGUCGAACGGCCGCACAGUAAGAGCUUGCUCUUACGGGUGGCGAGUGGCGGACGGGUGAGGAAUACAUCGGCAUCUACUUUUUCGUGGGGGAUAACGUAGGGAAACUUACGCUAAUACCGCAUACGAUCUACGGGUGAAAGCAGGGGUUCUUCGGACCUUGCGCGAUUGAAUGAGCUGAUGUCGGAUUAGCUAGUUGGCGGGGUAAAGGCCCACCAAGGCGACGAUACGUAGCUGGUCUGAGAGGAUGAUCAGCCACACUGGAACUGAGACACGGUCCAGACUCCUACGGGAGGCAGCAGUGGGGAAUAUUGGACAAUGGGCGCAAGCCUGAUCCAGCCAUACCGCGUGAGUGAAGAAGGCCUUCGGGUCGUAAAGCCCUUUUGUUGGGAAAGAAAAGCAGCAUGUUAAUACCCCGCUGUUCUGACGGUACCCAAAGAGUAAGCACCGGCUAACUUCGUG
rnacentral:rRNA from 1 species